GCCUCCCGUGCCUACUGAGCUGAUACUCAGUUGCUUUGGAAAAACUGGCUCAGUUCAGCAGGAACAGGAG
rnacentral:pre_miRNA from 1 species